CCAAGGAGUCUUGCAAACGCGCGAGUCACUGGGCUCGCACGAACCCCAAAGGCGCAAUGAAAGUGAACGCGCCCCCCGCCGCCUCGGCGGAGGGGGGCAGGCGGUGGGAUCCCGGCCCAGAGGGUUCGGGCGCACCACCGGCCCGUCUCGCCGGCCCCGACCGGGAGGCGGAGCAGGAGCGUGUUUGCAGGGACCCGAAAGAUGGUGAACUAUGCCUGAGCAGGGCGAAGCCAGAGGAAACUCUGGUGGAGGCCCGCAGCGGUUCUGACGUGCAAAUCGAUCGUCUGACUUGGGUAUAGGGGCGAAAGACUAAUCGAACCGUCUAGUAGCUGGUUCCCGCCGAAGUUUCCCUCAGGAUAGCCGGCGCCCUUUGUGGCAGUUUUAUCCGGUAAAGCGAAUGACUAGAGGCAUCGGGGCCGAAACGGCCUCGACCUAUUCUCAAACUUUAAAUGGGUAAGAGACGCGGCCCGCUCGGAUGGGGCCGGGGUGCGAAUGCGGGCGCCGAGUGGGCCA
rnacentral:rRNA from 1 species